GAGGCUUUAUUUUAAUUAAAGAGCCUGAGUUGCAUUCAGGAGAUGCAGGUUAAUGUUCUGCAAGUCUUA
rnacentral:tRNA from 1 species